rnacentral:rRNA from 1 species
AAGUCGUAACAAGGUUUCCGUAGGUGAACCUGCGGAAGGAUCAUUAACGAGUAAACGGGGGAGUUGUGGCUGGUCCCUUCAAGGACAUGUGCACGCUCUCUCAACUCAAUUCAACCUUUACACCUGUGCACCCAUUGUAGGCUGGGGUGGCGUCAAGCCGCCCUUCCUAUGUUUUAUCAUAUAUACACCUGUUAGUCUCAGAAUGUCAUCUGCGUAUAACGCAUUUUUUGAAAACAACUUUCAACAACGGAUCUCUUGGCUCUCGCAUCGAUGAAGAACGCAGCGAAAUGCGAUAAGUAAUGUGAAUUGCAGAAUUCAGUGAAUCAUCGAAUCUUUGAACGCACCUUGCGCUCCUUGGUAUUCCGAGGAGCAUGCCUGUUUGAGUGUCAUGAAUCUCUCAACUCACCCGGUUUUUGUUAACUGUGGUGGGCUUGGAUUUGGGGGCUUUGCUGGCUGUCAAGUCGGCUCCCCUCUAAAUGUAUUAGCUGAACCCGUUGCGGAACAGUGGCUCGGUGUGAUAAUUGUCUACGCCGUCUCUGGGAAGCGUCUUUGGUUGAUCGGCUUCUAAGCUGUCCUCGGACAAUUUUUGACAGUUUGACCUCAAAUCAGGUAGGAUUACCCGCUGAACUUAAGC